rnacentral:rRNA from 1 species
GAGGUCGGCUCCGAUCAGGCGCUGUCCAAGGGGCAGUGUUACCAGGGGAAAUGAAAACGUACUGCGUCUUCAAAUGUGGUGGGCGCAUUCACGACAAUGUGUCGCAUUUUAAAUUUCUGGGAGGAUUGACAGAUUGAGACCUUUAAGGCAGAGUGCGGUAACGCAAACCAGCUCGGAGACGCCAAUGCGAGCCCUUUGAAGAGUUUUUUUCUCUGUAAGGAGAUCGAGUCCCUGAGAUGGGUUCGCCUCGAGAUAGGGAUGGUGGCUCCGUAGAGCAGUGCAGCUCUUGCGCUGUCUGGUGCACUCUCAUCAGCCCUUGAAAAUCCGAGUGAGGGAGUGCGAUUUCCGUGCCGGACCGUACCCAUAUCCGCAGCAGGUCUCCAAGGUGAACAGCCUCU